rnacentral:rRNA from 1 species
UACGUAGGGGGCAAGCGUUGUCCGGAAUCAUUGGGCGUAAAGAGCGUGUAGGCGGCCCGGUAAGUCUGUUGUGAAAGUCCAGUGCUCAACCCUGGAAUGCCGAUGGAUACUGCCGGGCUAGAGUUCGGAAUAGGCGAGUGGAAUUCCUGGUGUAGCGGUGGAAUGCGCAGAUAUCAGGAGGAACACCUAUCGCGAAGGCAGCUCGCUGGGACGACACUGACGCUGAGCCGCGAAAGCGUGGGGAGCGAACAGG